AGUGAACGCUGGCGGUAGGCCUAACACAUGCAAGUCGAACGGCAGCACAGUAAGAGCUUGCUCUUACGGGUGGCGAGUGGCGGACGGGUGAGGAAUACAUCGGAAUCUACUUUUUCGUGGGGGAUAACGUAGGGAAACUUACGCUAAUACCGCAUACGACCUACGGGUGAAAGCAGGGGAUCUUCGGACCUUUCGCGAUUGAAUGAGCCGAUGUCGGAUUAGCUAGUUGGCGGGGUAAAGGCCCACCAAGGCGACGAUCCGUAGCUGGUCUGAGAGGAUGAUCAGCCACACUGGAACUGAGAAACGGUCCAGACUCCUACGGGAGGCAGCAGUGGGGAAUAUUGGACAAUGGGCGAAAGCCUGAUGCAGCAAUACCGCGUGGGUGAAGAAGGCCUUCGGGUUGUAAAGCCCUUUUGUUGGGAAAGAAAAGCAGCAGGUUAAUACCCCGCUGUUCUGACGGUACCCAAAGAAUAAGCACCGGCUAACUUCGUG
rnacentral:rRNA from 1 species